GCUUACGGCCAUACCACCCUGAGAACACCCGAUCUCGUCUGAUCUCGGAAGCUAAGCAGGGUCGGGCCUGGUUAGUACUUGGAUGGGAUUCUGCCUGGGAAUACCAGGUGCUGUAAGCU
rnacentral:rRNA from 1 species